GACGAACGCUGGCGGCGUGCCUAAUACAUGCAAGUAGGACGCAGUUGCGAACGGGUGAGUAACGCGUAGGUAACUGCCUAUUAGAGGGGGAUAACUCUUGGAAACGCUAGCUAAUACCGCAUACUCGUAGAUGAACCUGCGUUGUAUUAGCUAGUAGGUAGGGUAAUGGCCUACCUAGGCAACGAUACAUAGCCGACCCUGGAGGGGGGACGGCCAAACUUGGGAUUGGACAAGGCCCAGACUCCUACGGGAGGCAGUAGUAGGGAAUCUUCGGGAAAGGGGGGAAACCUGACCGAGCAACGCCGCGUGAAUGAAGAAGGUUUUCGGAACGUAAAGAUCUGGUGUUUAGAAAACGGUACUUAACCAGAAAGGGACGGCUAACUACGUGCCAGCAGCCGCGGUAAUUC
rnacentral:rRNA from 1 species